rnacentral:rRNA from 1 species
UACGAGGGGGGCAAGCGUCGUUCGGAAUUAUUGGGCGUAAAGGGUGCGUAGGCGGUUUUGUAAGUCUUGAGUGAAAUCUUCAGGCUCAACUUGAAGACUGCACGAGAAACUGCAGGGCUUGAGUGUGGGAGAGGUGAGUGGAAUUCCUGGUGUAGCGGUGAAAUGCGUAGAUAUCAGGAGGAACACCUGUGGCGAAAGCGGCUCACUGGACCACAACUGACGCUGAUGCACGAAAGCUAGGGGAGCAAACAGG